rnacentral:rRNA from 1 species
ACCCUGAGGACGGGGAUAAACCCGGGAAACUGGGUAUAAUACCCGAUAGGUUUCGGAUGCUGGAAUGCACCGAGGCCUAAAGCUCCGGCGCCUCAGGAUGGGUCUGCGGCCUAUCAGGGUAGUAGUAGGUGUAACGUACCUACUAGCCUACGACGGGUACGGGUUGUGAGAGCAAGAGCCCGGAGAUGGAUUCUGAGACACGAAUCCAGGCCCUACGGGGUGCAGCAGGCGCGAAAACUUUACAAUGCUGGAAACAGCGAUAAGGGAACCUCGAGUGCCGCGAUACAAUCGCGGCUGUCUAGUUGCCUAAAAAGCAAUUGAUAGCAAGGGCCGGGCAAGACCGGUGCCAGCCGCCGCGGUAACACCGGCGGCUCGAGUGGUAACCGCUUUUAUUGGGUCUAAAGGGUCUGUAGCCGGCUUGGUUAGUCUCUUGGGAAAUCUGGCUGCUCAACAGUCAGGCUUUCAGGGGAUACUGCUAAAGCUCGAGACCGGGAGAGGUGAGAGGUACUUCAGGGGUAGGGGUGAAAUCUUGUAAUCCUUGAAGGACCACCAGUGGCGAAGGCGUCUCACCAGAACGGAUCUGACGGCAAGGGACGAAAGCUAGGGGCACGAACCGGAUUAGAUACCCGGGUAGUCCUAGCCGUAAACGAUACUCGCUAGGUGUCGGCCACGGUGCGACCGUGGUCGGUGCCGUAGGGAAGCCGUGAAGCGAGCCACCUGGGAAGUACGGCCGCAAGGCUGAAA